UACAGAGGGUGCAAGCGUUGUUCGGAAUUAUUGGGCGUAAAGCGCGCGUAGGCGGCUUGGCAAGUCGGAUGUGAAAUCCCUCGGCUCAACCAAGGAAGUGCAUCCGAAACUGCUGAGCUUGAGUACUUAAGAGGAUCGCGGAAUUCCCGGUGUAGAGGUGAAAUUCGUAGAUAUCUGGAGGAACACCGGUGGCGAAGGCGGCAUCCUGGACCGGCAUUGACGCUGAGGCGCGAAAGCUAGGGGAGCAAAGCGGGG
rnacentral:rRNA from 1 species